AUGAGGAUAUUUCUUGUCACAGCCCUGGUGGUCUGCCUUGUCAGCCAUGGAACCGACAUGGCCACAGCUUCGGCAGCUUGGGAUGACCAAGAUUUCUUCAGAAACUGUCUGCCGUCCCGGUGCAGCAAAGAUGGACCUGAGAUUCGGUUCCCACUCCGGCUUGAUUCCAGCAAUACAUCAUCAUCCUGUGGCGCAACAUGCGCGAAACUAGCAUGCUCAGGUCAAGCCACUAUCAUGUUUCACCCACUUCUUGGCCCAUGCAAUGUCACCGCCAUGAAUUACACCGGUACCGUCCUCAACAUCACCCCCCCUUACCUCCGCGUGCACGAUGAUUCAGAAUCUCAUAUCGACAAGUUCACCACCGGCUCACACUGGCCACCACUGUACUCCACAUUAUAG
rnacentral:rRNA from 1 species